ACGGAGGGGGCAAGCGUUAAUCGGAAUUACUGGGCGUAAAGCGCACGCAGGCGGUCUGACAAGUCGGAUGUGAAAUCCCCGGGCUCAACCUGGGAACUGCAUUCGAAACUGGCAGGCUAGAGUCUAGUAGAGGGGGGUAGAAUUCCAGGUGUAGCGGUGAAAUGCGUAGAGAUCUGGAGGAAUACCGGUGGCGAAGGCAGCACCCUGUACAAAGACUGACGCUCAGGUGCGAAAGCGUGGGGAGCAAACAG
rnacentral:rRNA from 1 species